UAUUAAAAAGGGUGAUGUGUUAUUAAUGAGAAUUUAGAAGAAAGGGGAGGAAUGUUCUGAGUGGGAAGAAUUAAGCUUAGGCUGGCUGAAGGCAUUAAGGGAGGGUGAUGUGGCAAGUUAUCCUUGAGUUGAGAGGCGAAAAGAGAAUUAAAAAAGGAUAAGGAACCUCGAAAGUAUGGUUUGGCGAUUUACAUGAACAAAUUUGGAGAAAUCGGUGCCAUUUGAAAAGCUGAGAAGGCUUAAUUCUCAAAGUAGUUGUGCCAGAGGAAGAUGGCAGACGAAGAAGAGGUGGAAAGUGAUGGAAUUAUAGAGAAGAUAGAAUCUCGGGGAAACAGGGCCCGAGGUGAAGAUUUGAGGUUCUAGGCCAAACUACGAGGAAUUAAUGGCUGAAAUUUUAAGUUGUAACAGGGAACUUGUGAAUAAGCAAAUAGCUGUUUGGGAAGAAUAAGCAAACAGCUUGCAAAUGAAUGGGAAUCUCGCUAAAAUUGUAAAGAGGAUCUCGCUUUCGGUGCAAAUCUCACUGGAAAUAGAAAGGUAUCGCUGGGAAUUGUGAAGAGGAUCUCGCUCUCGGGGUAAAUCUCGCUAGAAAUGAGAAGGUAUCGCUAGUGUCGUUCUCUCCAGCAUUACUUGUAAGGCUCUCAUUGGUAAGGCUCUUGCUGGUGUCGCUGGUGAGGCUCUCGCUAGUGUCGCUGGUGAGGCUCUCUCUAGUGUCGCUCAAGCUGAUCUCACUGGUUCUGCUCUUGGUAAUCUCGCUGGCCAUGAAGAGCUAGCAGAAGCUCGUAACCCAUUAAGAGACCAAGAACUGUGAGUGAUUGUGAGAUUUCCUUACUGUUUUGUUGGUUUAGUAAAUUAUGACUUCACUAGAAGUAUUUCUCAUGUUAAGUGAUUAAAUGAUGUGCCAAGCAACUUGAUUUUCUUAUACUGAGUAGAGUAUGUUUAUCAUAGGAUUGAUGUAAAUAGGUUAUAUUGCUCAACUACUUACAGUAAGGUUAAGUAACUGCAUAUUUAUGAUGGUUCUGUAUGAAAGAUGAACUGGUAAUAUGAUCUGAACACUAAAUUGUUAUGUUCAACUAAAUGUUGGUGGCAUGUUGUGUAAUGGAUACUGAAGGGCAUAUGAGAAGGUAUCCUUUCAACUAAAUGUCUAUGUCUAGUUUUACUUAAAACAAGGUACUGAAAGACUUAUGAGAAGGUACCUGGCCAAUUUGAUACCGAAGGACUUUUGAGAAGGUAUCCGGCCUAAUUGAUACCAAAGAACAUAUGAGAAGGUAUCUAACAAACUUGGUACCGAAAGACUUUUGAGAAGGUACCCGGCCAACUUGAUACCGAAGGACUUUUGAGAAGGUAUCCGACCAAAUUGAUACCGAGGGACAUAUGAGUAAGUAUCUUAAUAGCUCGAUACUGAAGGACAUUUGAGAAGGUAUCUGAGCUGAAGUACCUGAGGAUACUGAAGGACUUAUGAGAAGGUAUCCUAGUCAGGUAUAUACGGUACGACGGUACCCAGUUAUAACUACGUGCAUGUGGAUAAUACGACGUCGAGGGAUUGAACAAAAGAGUUCUCCCUGAUUAAGGUUGAGAUUGAGGGUUAGAUGUAUUAAGUCAAUCUCAACCAGGAAUAGAGAUAGUCAUAUUUCCUUCUAGGCUAGAAGGAUAGACUAGAGUUGUUAAUGCUUGAGAAUUAUCAUCAACGCUUGAUGUUUAAUAAUGUAUUAGUUUUUCCAAGCAUGUUGUACAUGUCUAAUGCAUGUUGGUGGUUCCAUAAACUAGUUGAAUAACGUUGUAAUUUAGCUAUUUCACCAAAUAUGAAGCAUGUGUUAGGGUUAAGGCUAAGGUUAAAGGAAGCUUGACAUACUACGUUUAAAUACCUAAACUUGCCAAGGUACAUGUGGUGGUAUUUCAAAGAACAAAUGAGUAGAGAUACUGGUAAGGAAGGUAUCUAAAUAAAUGUACCUAAGAUGUUGACGACACAUAGUAAACUCCACGUGUAUUUAGGCAAGUGUGAAUGCGAGACCGAGAUAUGGAUCUCUUGGCUAAUAACAGACGUUGAGGGCUAGAGCGGUGUAUGCUUGUUCUCAUCCAAGAUCUAAUGAGUAUUGAUGUAUAGAAGUUGUUAUCUACGUUUAUGUUUUAAGGAUGUUGUUUGAGACACCAUCAGAUUGUUUAAAAAGAUCGAUAUGGGGAUCUCUUCUGGCUAGAAUUUAAUGUGAACGGGUCGAGGAAGAGGUUUUAUCCGGCCAUGGCUUGACGUUGGAAUUAGCAGGGAGUGCUCAUUCUCAAUUAUGAUUCAGGUUCUUGAUGCGAUGGCAUUAAAGGUCUUUAUGUAAACGUUGCUUGGUUUAAUCUAGUUUUGGUAUUACGCUUUCAAGCUAUGGUUCUUAAACAUGAGAUUUAUGCAUUAUAAAGUCACUCACUGGGCUUCUAGCUCAUGUUUUCAAAUGUUUUCUUUUUCAAGUAACGGUCAGUUCCCAGAAGACGUUUCUGAUGCCGCUCUGCCACUCAAAGAGACAGGUUAAAGGAAGUGCAAUUGAAGAUCAGUAUUAGCUAGUACACACGUGUCUGAUUAGUGAUUUGUAUCCUAGAUGAGGCUCACUAGGUUGUAUUAUUCACGUGUAAACAAUGCUGCAAAACUCUGUAAUGUAAAUGUAUUGAAUUAUGUGUUCAUAUGCAUGUAUACAGGGUUUGAGUAUGGUUUUUAAGGUGAAAUAGGCAGUGGGUGCCAACAAAAGGGUUGGUAACUGCUCCAGUCACCACUCCGUCUAGGUUAGGAGGAUAAUCUUGUGCGGGGUGUGACAUACAUUGACAUGAUUGAUUUGCCAAAUCAUGAAGAAGAAUAUGAAACUUAGGUACACAAAGAAUCGAGUUUCUUCUCCC